rnacentral:rRNA from 1 species
ACGGUAUGCCUUACACAUGCAAGUCGAACGGAAAGGUCUCUUCGGAGAUACUCAAGUGGCGGACGGGUGAGUAACACGUAGGAAUCUGCCCCAGAGUGGGGGACAACCAAGGGAAACCUUGGCUAAUACCCCAUAUGGCGUGAGCUGAAAGUUUUUUCGCUCUGGGAGGAGCCUGCGCUUGAUUAGCUAGUUGGUGAGGUAAUAGCUCACCAAGGCGACGAUCAAUAGCUGGUCUGAGAAGAUGACCAGCCACAAUGGGACUGAGAUACGGCCCAUACUCCUACGGGAGGCAGCAGUGGGGAAUUUUGCGCAAUGGACGAAAGUCUGACGCAGCAAUACCGUGUGUGGGAUGACGCCUCGUGGGGUGUAAACCACUGUCAGAAUGGAAAAAUUUGAUUGUACAUUCAAAGGAAGCACCGGCUAAUUCCGUGCCAGCAGCCGCGGUAAUACGGAAGGUGCAAGCGUUGUCCGGAUUUAUUGGGCGUAAAGAGUUUGUAGGCGGUUUUGUAAGUCUGAAGUGAAAUAAUGGAGCUCAACUCCAUACACGCUUUUGAAACUACAGAACUAGAGAAUGUUAGGGGUGAGUGGAAUUUCCAGUGUAGCGGUGAAAUGCGUAGAUAUUGGAAAGAACACCGGAGGCGAAGGCGGCUCACUGGGACAUUUCUGACGCUGAGAAACGAAAGCUAGGGGAGCGAAAGGGAUUAGAUACCCCUGUAGUCCUAGCCGUAAACGAUGAAUACUAGAUGUCAUGGGAAUCGACCCCUGUGGUAUCGUAGCUAACGCAUUAAGUAUUCCGCCUGGGAAGUAUGCACGCAAGUGUGAAACUCAAAGGAAUUGACGGGGACCCGCACAAGCGGUGGAACAUGUGGUUUAAUUCGAUGCAACGCGAAAAACCUUACCAGGCCUUGACAUCUGUAGAAUCGAGUGGAGACAUUCGAGUGCCUUCGGGAGCUACAAGACAGGUGCUGCACGGCUGUCGUCAGCUCGUGUCGUGAGAUGUUGGGUUAAGUCCCGCAACGAGCGCAACCCACGUUGUUAGUUGCCAUCAUUUAGUUGGGCACUCUAGCAAGACUGCCGGUGUUAAACCGGAGGAAGGUGUGGACGACGUCAAGUCAUCAUGGCCCUUAUGGCCUGGGCUACACACGUGUUACAAUGGCCAUUACAACGAGUCGCUACUUAGUGAUAAGAUGCUAAUCUCUCAAAAAUGGUCUCAGUUCGGAUUGCAGGCUGCAACUCGCCUGCAUGAAGUCGGAAUCGCUAGUAAAC